rnacentral:rRNA from 1 species
AGUGGCGCGUGCUACCAUGCAAGUCGAACGAUGAUGCCCAGCUUGCUGGGCGGAUUAGUGGCGAACGGGUGAGUAAUACGUGAGUAACCUGCCCUUGACUCUGGGAUAAGCCUGGGAAACUGGGUCUAAUACUGGAUACUACCGUCCACCGCAUGGUGGGUGGUGGAAAGGGUUUUACUGGUUUUGGAUGGGCUCACGGCCUAUCAGCUUGUUGGUGGGGUAAUGGCUCACCAAGGCGACGACGGGUAGCCGGCCUGAGAGGGUGACCGGCCACACUGGGACUGAGACACGGCCCAGACUCCUACGGGAGGCAGCAGUGGGGAAUAUUGCACAAUGGGCGGAAGCCUGAUGCAGCGACGCCGCGUGAGGGAUGACGGCCUUCGGGUUGUAAACCUCUUUCAGUAGGGAAGAAGCGAGAGUGACGGUACCUGCAGAAGAAGCGCCGGCUAACUACGUGCCAGCAGCCGCGGUAAUACGUAGGGCGCAAGCGUUGUCCGGAAUUAUUGGGCGUAAAGAGCUCGUAGGCGGUUUGUCGCGUCUGCUGUGAAAGCCCGGGGCUCAACCCCGGGUCUGCAGUGGGUACGGGCAGACUAGAGUGCAGUAGGGGAGACUGGAAUUCCUGGUGUAGCGGUGAAAUGCGCAGAUAUCAGGAGGAACACCGAUGGCGAAGGCAGGUCUCUGGGCUGUUACUGACGCUGAGGAGCGAAAGCAUGGGGAGCGAACAGGAUUAGAUACCCUGGUAGUCCAUGCCGUAAACGUUGGGCACUAGGUGUGGGGGACAUUCCACGUUUUCCGCGCCGUAGCUAACGCAUUAAGUGCCCCGCCUGGGGAGUACGGCCGCAAGGCUAAAACUCAAAGGAAUUGACGGGGGCCCGCACAAGCGGCGGAGCAUGCGGAUUAAUUCGAUGCAACGCGAAGAACCUUACCAAGGCUUGACAUUCACCGGACCGCCCCAGAGAUGGGGUUUCCCUUCGGGGCUGGUGGACAGGUGGUGCAUGGUUGUCGUCAGCUCGUGUCGUGAGAUGUUGGGUUAAGUCCCGCAACGAGCGCAACCCUCGUUCUAUGUUGCCAGCACGUGAUGGUGGGGACUCAUAGGAGACUGCCGGGGUCAACUCGGAGGAAGGUGGGGAUGACGUCAAAUCAUCAUGCCCCUUAUGUCUUGGGCUUCACGCAUGCUACAAUGGCCGGUACAAAGGGUUGCGAUACUGUGAGGUGGAGCUAAUCCCAAAAAGCCGGUCUCAGUUCGGAUUGAGGUCUGCAACUCGACCUCAUGAAGUCGGAGUCGCUAGUAAUCGCAGAUCAGCAACGCUGCGGUGAAUACGUUCCCGGGCCUUGUACACACCGCCCGUCAAGUCACGAAAGUUGGUAACACCCGAAGCCGGUGGCCUAACCCCUUGUGGGAGGAGCCGUCGAAGUGAAGGGGGC